rnacentral:lncRNA from 1 species
CGCCGUUCUCCUGUGCUCCUGGGGUUGAUCUAGGUUAGUUUCGAUACUUUCUGUUGUUUUCCUAUCCUUCUUUCUUCGUAUUCUGUUUAUUUAGCUUUUUUGAGGGCCUGUCUGCUAUUUUUUCCAAUUUUUUGAGAUUUUUGUGGCUUCCAUCUGAUCCAAAAUAUCCUCUGAUAUCUCCUCCUCUAGCAGUUCUAGGAGUUCGUCAGCCCCAGUUCCCCAUAGUACCGGUACCGUAGACGAACCCGUAGCUAGGAUCGAACCUUGUUCGGCCUUUGCGCCAGACACCAUCCCCGGUUCCUUGACUCCGGAUGAACUCUCACUGAUAAGGAUUCAGUAUGGAGUUCCUCCGGAGUACGAGCUGGAGCUUCCCG